rnacentral:rRNA from 1 species
UACGUAGGUGGCAAGCGUUGUCCGGAAUUAUUGGGCGUAAAGCGCGCGUAGGCGGUCCUUUAAGUCUGAUGUGAAAGCCGACGGCUCAACCGUGGAGGGUCAUUGGAAACUGGGGGACUUGAGUACAGAAGAGAAGAGUGGAAUUCCACGUGUAGCGGUGAAAUGCGUAGAGAUGUGGAGGAACACCAGUGGCGAAGGCGACUCUUUGGUCUGUAACUGACGCUGAGGCGCGAAAGCGUGGGGAGCAAACAGG